rnacentral:rRNA from 1 species
CGCGUAGGCGGUUAUGUAAGUCAGAUGUGAAAUACUCCGGCUCAACCAGAGAAUUGCAUCUGAAACUGUGUAGCUAGAGUACAGGAGAGGGAAACGGAAUUCCCGGUGUAGAGGUGAAAUUCGUAGAUAUCGGGAGGAACACCAGUGGCGAAGGCGGUUUCCUGGCCUGAUACUGACGCUGAGGCGCGAAAGCGUGGGGAGCAAACAG